AGGAUUCGAUUCUGGCUCAGGAUGAACGCUGGCGGCGUGCUUCAUACAUGCAAGUCGAACGAGAAUUGGUAGCUUGCUACCAAGGAAAGUGGCGGACGGGUGAGUAAUACAUAGGGAAUCUGCCCUUAGCCGGGGGGACAACAGUUGGAAACGACUGCUAAUACCGCAUAUGAGUAUAGUUGAGAUAUUAUACUUGAAAACUCCGGUGGCUAAGGAUGAGCCUGUGCCUGAUUAGUUAGUUGGCGGGGUAAAGGCCCACCAAGGCGACGAUCAGUAGCUGGUUUGAGAGGAUGAUCAGCCACAAUGGGACUGAGACACGGCCCAUACUCCUACGGGAGGCAGCAGUAGGGAAUUUUGCGCAAUGGGCGAAAGCCUGACGCAGCAACGCCGCGUGUGUGAUGAACGCCCCUAGGGGUGUAAAACACUGUCAGUGGGGACGAAAGAUGACGGUACCCACAGAGGAAGCACCGGCUAACUCCGUGCCAGCCGCUGC
rnacentral:rRNA from 1 species